UACGGAGGGUGCAAGCGUUAAUCGGAAUUACUGGGCGUAAAGCGCACGCAGGCGGUCUGUCAAGUCGGAUGUGAAGUCCCCGGGCUCAACCUGGGAACUGCAUUCGAAACUGGCAGGCUAGAGUCUUGUAGAGGGGGGUAGAAUUCCAGGUGUAGCGGUGAAAUGCGUAGAGAUCUGGAGGAAUACCGGUGGCGAAGGCGGCCCCCUGGACAAAGACUGACGCUCAGGUGCGAAAGCGUGGGGAGCAAACAGG
rnacentral:rRNA from 1 species